GCCCAUUGUUGGUAAAUAAGCAACACAAUGUUUAUAUAAUAUAAAAAAAAAAAAAUCAAAUCACUCCAAACACCCCUGUCAGUCUUUAUUUUAUAAGAACAAUUAAAAAGAUAUAUAUUACAGCAUAACAGGGGUAUGGCAUAGAUUAAAUCUGUCAGUAAUAAUUAACUUUUUUUGCCUUUUAACAAUUGCACCCAGAUGUCUGCCAUAAAAGUUUUUGGUGGAAAGAUAAAAGUAAAUGGGUGAGACGCAACGCAUAACCUCAUCGCGAGGAUACAAAAGUUAUAUUGUGAUUGUAAGAUGCUAGGAAAAUGCCCAUUUAACUCUUUCUUGAAUAAAAUCCAUGUGCAAACUGUUGUUGCUUAUUCAAUAGAACACCUUGCUGAUUUGUAAAGGAUUAAUCACAGAUGUACCCAAUACAAUGGCAGCAAGUUAUGUUAAGACAAGCUACAACUGUACAGCAGUUUAAGCAUUAAAAUACUCAACUUAAAACACUAGCUUUCAUAAUCAAAAUAAAUGUAAAAAAGUUAUGCUCAAUUACCAUUAUAAUAUAUGCAGUCUCAGAUGAUUUGCAGGUUGUGUCAAAAUGUCAGAUUAUACAUUAAAGGACCACUCUAGGCACCCAGACCACUUCAGCUUAAUGAAGUGGUCUGGGUGCCAGGUCCAGCUAGGGUUAACCCAUUCUUUCAUAAACAUAGCAGUUUCAGAGAAACUGCUAUGUUUAUGAAUGGGUUAAGCCUUCCCCUGUUUCCUCUAGUGGCUGUCUCAUUGACAGCCACUAGAGGCGCUUGCGUGC